rnacentral:rRNA from 1 species
GAUGAACGCUGGCGGCGUGCCUAAUACAUGCAAGUCGAGCGAACAGAUGAGAAGCUUGCUUCUCUGAUGUUAGCGGCGGACGGGUGAGUAACACGUGGGUAACCUACCUAUAAGACUGUAAUAACUCCGGGAAACCGGGGCUAAUACCGGCUAAUAUUUUGAACCGCAUGGUUCAAUAGUGAAAGACGGUUUCGGCUGUCACUUAUAGAUGGACCCGCGCCGUAUUAGCUAGUUGGUAAGGUAACGGCUUACCAAGGCGACGAUACGUAGCCGACCUGAGAGGGUGAUCGGCCACAUUGGAACUGAGACACGGUCCAGACUCCUACGGGAGGCAGCAGUAGGGAAUCUUCCGCAAUGGGCGAAAGCCUGACGGAGCAACGCCGCGUGAGUGAUGAAGGUCUUCGGAUCGUAAAACUCUGUUGUUAGGGAAGAACAAAUUUGUUAGUAACUGAACAAGUCUUGACGGUACCUAACCAGAAAGCCACGGCUAACUACGUGCCAGCCGCCGCCGUAA